rnacentral:lncRNA from 1 species
UGAAGGCUCUUAUGAAAGCAAGACAUUAGCCACCAUGCACCAUGAAAAACAAGCUGCCUCAUCCCUUCUCCAAAGAUGGUCUUCCUUCUGUACUCCUACAUUCAAAAUUCCUUCCCUGUGUUUACUGGUGUCUGUCUGGCCUCUGAACCUUACCAUGUAGAUCCACAUUAUUUUGAGAACUUCCUUGGAUACUCUGUCCAGGAGGAUAGGAGGAAGCCUUAACAUGACCAUUCACUCUUCAUGUGAGAGGCAAUCUUACCCUGGUUUUGACCAUCUUUAAUAAGAAGCAGACCUGUGCCCAGCUGAUCCCACAAGAUGGAAGACCUGAGGACCACCCUUCCGGAGAAUCAAAGGCAAAGGUUGCUCAUCUGAUCACUGUUGCUGCUUCCCAUAGUGCUGAAUGAAAAUACAACUGGAAGUACAAGCUCUUUGAAAAGGGUUUGAAAGCAUCUACUGAAGCUGAAUGUAUGCAUUAACUUUGACUCAGCAAUUCCACCUUCAGAUUGGAAUAUCCUCAACAAAGAUGUGUAUAUUGGAUUGUCAAAAGACACAUACUGGAAUGUUCAUGGCAGCACUAUACAUAGUAGCACCAAGCUGGAACAUGAAAAUGCUAAUAAUCAGUAAAAUGGAUAAAUAAAUUGUGAUAUAUUCACAAAGAGAACAAUAUAUGGGCAUGAGAAUAAUCUAUAGCUACACACAGCAAUAAUGAUGAUGAAAACAAGUAUUAUGUUGAGUAAAGAAAGACACAAAGUACAUACUGUAUGAUUACAUACAUAUAAAGAAAAAAACACAAGCAAAGCUAAUUUAUGAUUUGAGUGAUUACUCAUAUGGGGGGUGAGAAAAGGAAGGGGCAAAGGGAAGCCAGUAGAGUACUGACAAUAUUCUCUUCCUUCACGUGGAUAUUGGUUACAUGGGUUUGUUUGAUUUUUGAGAAUUCACUGAGGUGUACACUUACAAAAUGUGCACUUUUCAA